rnacentral:rRNA from 1 species
AACCUGAGAAACCCGAAAUAUCGAAUGGGGAGACUCAUCGUCAGCGUAUUUGGCUUGCACGUGGUGCGCGAUGUUUGAGACGGUACCUCGUGUAUUUGUUGAUUUCACGCGUCCGCUGCAUGUCCGAUUGCGUCGGCGUGCACUUCUCCUCUAGUAGAACGUCGCGACCCGUUGGGUGUCGGUUUAAGGGCCGAGAUCGUCGACUGUUCCGUCGCUUCGGCGCACGGUUACAGACGCUUGGACCCCCGACCGGCUGCUCGACGGUAACAACAUGGUAUCGAGCCGCACUCGAAUGCGUUCAGACUCGUCGCAAGCUGGACCAUUGUUAGACCUGGAUGUACGGACCUGGUGCCGUCCCCGGGGAUGGUUAGCUGUUGGUAGACGAUGUUCUCGAACCGGCUUAACUCGAACAACGAUACUUGUCGGCGACGCUAUUGCUUUGGGUACUUUCAGGACCCGUCUUGAAACACGGACCAAGGAGUCUAACAUGUGCGCGAGUCAUUGGGACUAUGAAACCUAAAGGCGCAUUGAAAGAGAAGAUCGACCUCGCGUCGAUUGAGGGAGGAUGUGCGAUGUCACGAUAUCGCUCCGCACUCCCGGGGCGUCUCGUUGUCAUUGCGACAUGAGGCGCACCCAGAGCGUACACGUUGGGACCCGAAAGAUGGUGAACUAUGCCUGGUCAGGACGAAGUCAGGGGAAACCCUGAUGGAGGUCCGUAGCGAUUCUGACGUGCAAAUCGAUCGUCGGAACUGGGUAUAGGGGCGAAAGACUAAUC